UAGCGGCGGACGGGUGAGUAAUGCUUAGGAAUCUGCCUAUUAGUGGGGGACAACAUCUCGAAAGGGAUGCUAAUACCGCAUACGUCCUACGGGAGAAAGCAGGGGAUCUUCGGACCUUGCGCUAAUAGAUGAGCCUAAGUCGGAUUAGCUAGUUGGUGGGGUAAAGGCCUACCAAGGCGACGAUCUGUAGCGGGUCUGAGAGGAUGAUCCGCCACACUGGGACUGAGACACGGCCCAGACUCCUACGGGAGGCAGCAGUGGGGAAUAUUGGACAAUGGGGGGAACCCUGAUCCAGCCAUGCCGCGUGUGUGAAGAAGGCCUUAUGGUUGUAAAGCACUUUAAGCGAGGAGGAGGCUACUUUAGUUAAUACCUAAGAUAGUGGACGUUACUCGCAGAAUAAGCACCGGCUAACUCUGUGCCAGCAGCCGCGGUAAUACAGAGGGUGCCAGCGUUAAUCGGAUUUACUGGGCGUAAAGCGCGCGUAGGCGGCUUAUUAAGUCAGAUGUGAAAUCCCCGAGCUUAACUUGGGAAUUGCAUUCGAUACUGGUAAGCUAGAGUAUGGUAGAGGAUGGUAGAAUUCCAGGUGUAGCGGUGAAAUGCGUAGAGAUCUGGAGGAAUACCGAUGGCGAAGGCAGCCAUCUGGCCUAAUACUGACGCUAAGGUGCGAAAGCAUGGGGAGCAAACAGGAUUAGAU
rnacentral:rRNA from 1 species